rnacentral:rRNA from 1 species
ACUCAAAUGAAUUGACGGGGGCCCGCACAAGCGGUGGAGCAUGUGGUUUAAUUCGAUGCAACGCGAAGAACCUUACCUGGUCUUGACAUCCACGGAAGAAUCCAGAGAUGGAUUUGUGCCUUCGGGAACCGUGAGACAGGUGCUGCAUGGCUGUCGUCAGCUCGUGUUGUGAAAUGUUGGGUUAAGUCCCGCAACGAGCGCAACCCUUAUCCUUUGUUGCCAGCGGUCCGGCCGGGAACUCAAAGGAGACUGCCAGUGAUAAACUGGAGGAAGGUGGGGAUGACGUCAAGUCAUCAUGGCCCUUACGACCAGGGCUACACACGUGCUACAAUGGCGCAUACAAAGAGAAGCGACCUCGCGAGAGCAAGCGGACCUCAUAAAGUGCGUCGUAGUCCGGAUUGGAGUCUGCAACUCGACUCCAUGAAGUCGGAAUCGCUAGUAAUCGUGGAUCAGAAUGCCACGGUGAAUACGUUCCCGGGCCUUGUACACACCGCCCGUCACACCAUGGGAGUGGGUUGCAAAAGAAGUAGGUAGCUUAACCUUCGGGAGGGCGCUUACCACUUUGUGAUUCAUGACUGGGGUGAAGUCGUAACAAGGUAACCGUAGGGGAACCUGCGGUUGGAUCACCUCCUUACCUGAAAGAAGC